CUCAUCCUUCCUGAGCUGACUGGGCUUGAGGUUCCUAAGGUAAUGACAGCUCAAUGCCAAACUGCUUCCUUCCCAGCACCCUCAGAGGCCACCCUCAACAUGACAGAAGAGCACAGCUCCCUGGGGUAGAGACAUGAAGGGACAUGAUGGCACAGGUGUCUUGUCCCUUCCAAGAACCCCACCAGCUGGUCAGUCCUUCCCUCCCUCUCUCCUUCCUCCCUCCCUCCCUCCCUCCCUCCCUCCUUCCUUCCUUCCUUCCUUCCUUCCUCCCUCCCUCCCUUCCUUCCUUCCUUCCUUCCUUCUUUCCUUCCUCUUGCACCCUCCAGUUUGGAUCUUCAACUCCUGGAUCACCUCAGGGUGAUCACGUCCAUUCCCCGGGGCUGCUGUGCUGGGGGCACACUGAGCAGUGACCACAAGGGACCUCAGGUCCUCCAGGCACACCCAGGGGUUGGCAAUCCUGGGAGGGGAAGGACGGAUUAUGUUGCAGGGUCAAUGAAAUGCUGUCUCCGGGUUUUGCUCCCAGGCAGACUAAACCGGAUCAAGGGCAACCCCUGGGGGGGCGGGGGGAGGGUCGGAAGGUCUGGUGGGCUGCUCCGCUGCAGCCAGCCUUUCCAAUGGGUCAGUGGGAAACUAAUGAACAAUCCAAGCGUGUUCAUCUCCUAGUGAGGUAAGAAUGGGGAUGGCCCUUUGCUUUGCUUCCUCAAAUCUUAGCAAAUGUCUAUCUCCUAACGCCCACCAUGCCACCGGGCACUUUGGACGCACUGCUCACCUCCUGUUACCUCCUCUGAUAGCAGCUCCUGGCGGAGGGAUCGGGCCCCCUGCGUCUCAGGUGAGGAGACCGCAGCCGGGCGGGAUGCUCCCCCAGCCCGGCGUGAGGCUCUGAGCAAGCGUGCGGGCUGCGAGCUCGGCUCCACGGAUGGACGGUCGGUGCUCCGGCCCCUCGACCCAGCCCCAGACCGCGCUCCUGCUCCCGGGGCCCACCCGCGUGGCGAAGGGCUGGCCUCACCUGGUCUGUCUGCGGAGCCGAGCAGGCUGGGCUCCCGCCUGUACCCGCCCAGCCCAGACUGCUGCCCGUGCCCGCCCACGAGCUCGCUGAGAACGACCGCCCGCUGGGGCGAGGAGCCUGCCUGCAGCCGCAGCUCUGCCCGCGAAGCUGCCCCACACCCACCCCGCCUCCUCUUUUCUAUUCUCUUCUCUCCUCACUCCCCCUCCUCUCCUGUCUUCGUUGUCCCUCCUUCCCUCCCUCCCAGCCUUAGUUUCCUCAUCCAUGUAAUGGGCAUAAGAUCUGCCUUUCAUAAACCUGUUUGGGAUAUUAACUGCAGACCUUCUACGCUCCUGGCUCGCCUGCUUUCCUCGCAGGACUGAACAAGACAGGAUCAGUGUCUUUGUGUCAUCCUGAAGCUCCCAGCCCUGGGGGAGAAGACAGACGAGGGACAAGAAAAUAAAUUAUUCCCCUUCCCUGGGGAAAUGGAGGACACAGCAGGGAGUGAGAUUCAGUGAUUGAGCGACAUGACUGAAGUCACUCACCUAAGAAAUGACCCUGUCUGUUAUGUGAUGUGAGCCCUGCCUGCCAAGCACCCAGGCCUCCGCUGGCUGGCCCUGCAGACUUGCACCUGACGUCUGUUCUUCCUGGACCACUCUUCUCCCUGCUGUGCCUCCCUGAAAAGCUGCUGCUCCUUCACUUCCCAGCUCUGAUGUCUAGGCCAGGAUGGGUUCCUGCAUCCCACAAACCUCCUGUGCCCUGCCACAGAUGCAGAGGCAUAGUUUGGCUGGCUAUUUGCCCAAGCACCCUGCCUCCCCACCCAACUCUAUUUCUGGUGCACAGCUCUUAUCUAUGCCCCCGUCAUGCACAGAGACAGCAUCUGACAGAAGAAGGAAGGAAUACAAAAGAAGGAAGGAAAGAAGGAAGGAAGGAAAAAUUCAAUGAGAUGUGAUGGGCAGCUGUGUGGGGUCUGGGCUGCCUGUAGCCUCCAGGGUCUUGCUGGUGAGGCUUGGAGGCAGGCUUCCAUGUGGGCACAUUUGAGAACCACUGCCCAGGGGUCCCGGACUGAGCCCCGCCCCUGUGGUUAGAGAACAGCCAAAGAGCUGAGAGGUAAGAAAACUGAACCUGAAAAAAGUGGACUAUCUUGUCUCAGUCAGACAACUUCUAGAUGACCGGGUUGAGAUUUGAACCCAAAGUCUGAGCUCCUUCUUCAGGACUAUUUUGCCCCUGAGAGGGACAGGCAGGAGUGUUCCACAUGAAUCACCUUGGAGUCAAAUGUGAGCACCAGUCCUCAGGUGUGUGCAGCCCUUAAGAUGACCUCUCUGUGACCUCUCAAUCCACUGCAAGAUUACUAUUCAAUGAGGAAGCUGAAGGCCAGACCGUGAGGGGAUGGACCCCGAUCACCUGCCCUGUCGGAAACUUACUGGGACUUGGAAUCAGGCCCACUUUGAGAGCCAGUAUAAUGAGUGUCCACAUGCUGGGGAUUGGGGCCAUCUGGCAAGGCCUCAGAUUCUCAUCUGUAAAGUGAAACUAAUAAUAAAAUCCACCUCAAGAGUUGUGAGGAGAAAUGAGGUGAGAUUCAAACAGCUCUUAACACAGGCAUGGGCAGGAAACACGUGGCCGAGCUGCCUCUGCUGGUAGGAGUCCUGUGUCCCAGUGCCUGCCCACUUCCCUGAGGUCCCAGCCCCAGAGCCAAUAUGCGGUUGCUAUCCAUUCUGAUUGGAAGCCUCUCCAGCCCCAUGUCAAAACCCACACCUCUCACCUGGAUUAGUCCAACAUGGUCCUGAGAGGCCCCACCAGCUCAGCCUCCGUGAGCUUCUAAAAUCAGUCUGCCUCUGUUUCUCCUUCAGCCCUUCUUGUGCUGCCUCCUUCAGACUCAUUCUCCACUUAAACUCUUCAUUGUUAGGAAGCAGCAUUGAGUUUCAUGUAUCCAGGCGUACGCAGGUGUUGCUUUCACAGGUCUCACCAAGCUCAUCAUUCUGGGAGACCCAGGCCACAUAAACAGUUCUCCGUGACACAUGCCACAACCCCCUCAUUCUAAAGGGAAGCUGCCAAGGGUGACACAUGCACAGAUAGCUUGUGGGAAUCUGUCAUGGAAAAUCUAUAGCAGAUGAAAGCUACAUUAAUAAUCCAGGAAAAACAGCUUAUUUUCUGGUUCUUAUAAAUAGAAAACCAAAGAUCCCUGCACAUUGAGAAAAUCAACAGCACAAAUGAGAUAGGUCAAAAUGAACAAACAAGGGCUGGCAUGGUGGCUCGCCCUGUAAUCCCAGCACUCUGUGAGGCCGAGGAAGUGGAUUGCCUGAGCCCAGGAGUUAGAUCCCAGCCUGAGCAAGAAUGAGACCUUGUCUUUUUAAAACAUUAAAAGAAAAUAAGAAUAAAUAAGAUAACCAACCCCAAAAGAAACUGAAAUAACUCCAGGAAUAGAAAAGAACUUUGAGAGAUCAAAAGCUUCCUUUAAUCCUUAGAUUACCAAAGAUGCUGGAAGUAGAUGAAGUAAAAGAGACCAAAAAAAGCAAGUGAGAAAUCUUGAAAAUUAAACAUAUGAUUGCUGAAAUUUGAAAACAUUAGACAGAAUGGAAGAACACGGUAUGGAAAUAUUACACAAUGUAGAGCAAAAACACAAAAAUAUGGAAAAACCUCAGGGCAAAAAUAAGAGACCUAGUUGAUUGAUACAAAUGACCCAUCAUCCGAUUAACAAAAUUUCCAGGAAGGGAGAACAAAGAUAAUGAAAGGUAGCACAUCGAUCAUGGUGUAAGCAGAAAAAAUAAUUCACCCUCACUUUAGUAGAAAAGCAACUUACAGAGAUGCAGGCUGGGUUAAGGGGAAAACAAACAAAUGAUCAAAUGAUCAGGCACUCAGAGCUCAGCUGCAGUGAGAAGUAGUUACCACCCUACAGGUAAAGGAACAGAAGGAGAAAACCAUGUUACCAGAGCCAGAGGACUGUGGAGGAAGGACCACCCAGUGACAGCUGCUGGGGCCUGGAGGCAUGCCACCAUCACCAGACUCAGCAUCUAAACAAGGGGAAGUACAAAAGAACUAUGCCAACCUCCUUCUCCUUCCGCCUCCAGCCUCCCAUGCGCCCCUCGCAUUGACCAAACUCAACUGGAAUCCUGCCAGUAAAGGGAUCGUCUGGCCUGGGCACAAAGAAGGGCAGAGAACAAGAGCGGAGAAUGGACCUGGGUGGAGUACAAGCAAAGUAGCCAACACAUAAA